rnacentral:lncRNA from 1 species
AUAUUUUCAUCCGUUCAUUUUGAGCAAAUUAAAUCAGCAUAUGAAAAUACAUAAAAAAGUUCAAUUAAUAUUUAUUUAUGCAAAUCAAAAAGAAUUUUAAAAACAAAGGUAACACAGUGUAUAUCUUUAUUUUUUGCAACCACACAAAUGCACAGAUGGCAAUUUGCAGUUGAUACUGUACAAGAUACUGUGAGACUAUGUAUACUACACAUGAUGAAAGUUGGCAGAAGUACCAAUGCAAUUGCAGUCUUGCCACACAUAGUAGAGAUAACUGGUAAUACAAACCUCUAUCCAAAAUAUUGUGAUUGGGCUCAAUGUAAAAAAAUAAUUGAAUAUAUAGAUGUUUCUGGUUACUGUAAUAUUCUAUAACUUCCUUUAUUAUAUCAUACCAUUAAUUGAAAAAA